UAAAAAAUUUUGGCGGUAUUUUAAGCUUAUUAGAGGAAUUUGCUCUGUGAUGGACACAACGCCUUAAUCUUACUUAAUUUAGUAAUUUAAAUCAGUUUGUAUACCACUAUAUUAAUUAUAUUGAAUAGUUAUAUUUAAAAUUUUUUUUAAAAAAAUAUAUUAAGUCAAGGUGCAUCUAAUAAUUAUGAAUGAAGUGAAUUACAUUAAUUUUAAUGUAAUUUUUUACAUGAAAAAAUUAAUUAGGAUUUAAUAGUAAAAUACUAAUAUUAUGAGUAUUUGAAUCAAGCUCUAAAAUAUGCACAUAUCGCCCGUCGCUCUCAGAAGUGAGAUAAGUCGUAACAAAGUAAAAAUACUGGAAAGUGUUUUUUAAAAUGAAAUCAUUUGAUGUUUCAUUUACAAUGAAAAUUUUGUUGUUUAACCAUUUUAA
rnacentral:rRNA from 1 species